rnacentral:lncRNA from 1 species
AUAAAUUUUAUUUUUUUGUGAGAAAAUUUGAACCAACAUCGUCGAAAAUGUCUGAUGCGGCUUCUGAUGAGGUUGUGGUGCGGUUACGAUGCGGCUGUACACGUGAAUAUUGUGUUGUAAUUUUUGUCUUUAAUUAACAUGCAAAGAUCACAAAUAUUUGCAAGGAUCAUGAAUCUGCAAUAUACAAUGAAAACAAUUAUAAUCAACAAAAAAAA